AUGUCUGAGGCUACACGGCUUCUGCAGGUUUCUUUUGGGACACAUGUCUUUGAACCCCUGAGCUGUGAUGUCAGAAACCCAGCCAUCCUUAAACCACCAUGCCGCACAAUCCAUGAAGACAAAUCACCAAGAGAUGAAAAGAAAUGCCUGAGGAGCUCCAGCUGUUUGAGCUCAAAGCUAGCAUCAUCAUCAACACCUGCCUCAGCAUCUGUAUCAGUAUCAAUACCUGCUUCAGCACCUGCAUCAGCAUCAACACCUGCAUCCACAUCUGCACCAACAUCUGCACCAUCAAUACGUGUAUCAGCAUCAGCACCUGCAUCAGCAACACCUGCUUCAACAUCUGCAUCAACAUCUGCACCAACAUCAAUACCUGCAUCAGCUUCAGCACCUGCAUCAGCAUCAAUACCUGCAUCCACAUCUGCAUCAACAUCUGCACCAACAUCAAUACCUGAUCAGCAUCAGCACCUGCAUCAGCAUCAACACCUGCUUCAACAUCUGCAUCAACAUCUGCACCAACAUCAAUACCUGCAUCAGCUUCAGCACCUGCAUCAGCAUCAACACCUGCAUCCACAUCUGCAUCAACAUCUGCACCAACAUCAAUACCUGAUCAGCAUCAGCACCUGCAUCAGCAUCAACACCUGCAUCCACAUCUGCAUCAACAUCUGCACCAACAUCAAUACCUGUUCAGCAUCAGCACCUGCAUCAGCAUCAACACCUGCAUUAGCAUCUGUAUCAGCACCAAUACCUGCUUCAGCACCUGCACCAUCAAUACCUGCAUCCACAUCUGUAUCAGUACCCACACCUGCUUCAGCAUCUGCAUCAGCACCUGCAUCAGUAUCAACACCUGCAUCAGCAUCUGUAUCAGCACCAACACCUGCUUCAGCACCUGCAUCAACACCUGCAUCCACAUCUGCAUCAACAUCUGCACCAUCAAUACCUGUUCAGCAUCAGCACCUGCAUCAGCAUCAAUACCUGCAUCAGCAUCUGUAUCAGCACCAACACCUGCUUCAGCACCUACACCAAUACCUGCAUCCACAUCUGUAUCAGUACCCAUACCUGCUUCAGCAUCUGCAUCAGUAUCAACACCUGCAUCAGCAUCUGUAUCAGCACCAAUACCUGCUUCAGCACCUGCAUCAACACCUGCAUCCACAUCUGCAUCAACAUCUGCACCAACAUCAAUACCUGUUCAGCAUCAGCACCUGCAUCAGCAUCAACACCUGCAUCAGCAUCUGUAUCAGCACCAACACCUGCUUCAGCACCUGCACCAUCAAUACCUGCAUCCCCAUCUGUAUCAGUACCCAUACCUGCUUCAGCACCUGCAUCAGCACCUGCAUCAGUAUCAACACUUGCAUCAGCAUCUGUAUCAGCACCAAUACCUGCUUCAGCACCUGCAUCAGCAUCAGCACCUGCAUCAGCAUCACUACCGGCAUCAGCAUCUGCGCCUGCAUCAACACCUGCUUCAGCAUCAGUACCUGCCUCAGCAUCAGUACCUGCUUUAACAUCAGCAGCUGUAUCAGCAUCAGUAUCUGCAUCACCACCUGCUUCAGCAUUUGCACCUGCAUCUGCAUCAGUGUCUGCCUCAGCAUCAGCACCAGCACCUGCCAGCAUCUGCAUCAUUAUCUGCAUCAGCCCCUGCCUCAGCAUCAGCACCUGUAUCAGCACCUGCAUCAGCAUCUGCAUCAUUAUCUGCAUCACCAUCAUCAUUUGUAUUGGCAUCAGCAUCAUCUGUGA
ensembl:lncRNA